rnacentral:rRNA from 1 species
CCUACGGGAGGCAGCAGUGAGGAAUAUUGGUCAAUGGGCGUAAGCCUGAACCAGCCAAGCCGCGUGAAGGACGAAUGCCCUAAGGAUUGUAAACUUCUUUUGUCAAGGAAUAAAGUGAGGCACGAGUGCCUUUUUGUAUGUACUUUAUGAAAAAGGAUCGGCUAACUCCGUGCCAGCAGCCGCGGUAAUACGGAGGAUGCGAGCGUUAUCCGGAUUUAUUGGGUUUAAAGGGAGCGUAGAUGGGUUGUUGAGUCAGUUGUGAAAGUUUGCGGCUCAACCCUAAAAGUGCAAUUGAUACUGGCAUUCUUGAGUACAGUUGAGGUAGGCGGAAUUCGUGGUGUAGCGGUGAAAUGCUUAGAGAUCACGAAGAACUCCGAUUGCGAAGGCAGCUUACUAAACUGCCACUGACAUUGAUGCGCGAAAGUGUGGGUAUCAAACAGGAUUAGAUACCCCUGUAGUC